GAGUUUGAUCCUGGCUCAGAACGAACGCUGGCGGCAGGCCUUAUACAUGCAAGUCGAACGAUAAUGUUACUUCGGUAACAGGAAAGUGGCGCACGGGUGAGUAACGCGUAGAGAUCUACCAAGCAGUGGGGAACAACUAUUGGAAACGAUAGCUAAAACCGCAUACGCCCUGAGGGGGAAAUAUUUAUAGCUGUUUGAUGAGUCUGCGUUAGAUAAGCUAGUUGGUGAGGUAAUGGCUCACCAAGGCAACGAUCUAUAGCUGGUUUGAGAGGAUGACCAGCCACACUGGAACUGAGACACGGUCCAGACUCCUACGGGAGGCAGCAGUAGGGAAUAUUGCACAAUGGGGGAAACCCUGAUGCAGCCAUGUCGCGUGAGUGAAGAAGGCCCUUGGGUUGUAAAACUCUUUCACCGAUGAGGAUGAUGACGAUAGUCGGAGAAGAAGCCCCGGCUAACUUCGUGCCAGCAGCCGCGGUAAUACGAAGGGGGCAAGCGUUGUUCGGAAUUACUGGGCGUAAAGAGUACGUAGGCGGUUAAUUUAGUUAGAUGUGAAAUCCCAGGGCUCAACCCUGGAACUGCAUUUAAUACUGGUUAACUUGAACAUAAGAGAGGGAAGUGGAAUUUCUAGUGUAGGAGUGAAAUCCGUAGAUAUUAGAAGGAACACCAGAGGCGAAGGCGACUUCCUGGCUUAUGAUUGACGCUGAGGUACGAAAGCGUGGGUAGCAAACAGGAUUAGAUACCCUGGUAGUCCACGCCGUAAACGAUGAGUGCUAGUUGUCGGGCAGUUCGCUGUUCGGUGAUGACGCUAACGCAUUAAGCACUCCGCCUGGGGAGUACGGUCGCAAGAUUAAAACUCAAAGGAAUUGACGG
rnacentral:rRNA from 1 species